rnacentral:rRNA from 1 species
GAUGAACGCUGACAGAAUGCUUAACACAUGCAAGUCUUUGGCGAAGCUGUGCUUGCACAGCCUAGCCAAGGCGGACGGGUGAGUAACGCGUAAGGAACUUGCCCUGCAGUCAGGGAUAACAGACGGAAACGACUGCUAAGCCCUUGUCAAGUCAGGUGGACUCAUGCCCAGUCUGAUGAAAAGAGAUGCUGCUGGAGAGCCUUGCGUCCUAUUAGCUUGUUGGUGGGGUAAUGGCCCACCAAGGCGAUGAUAGGUAGCCGGCCUGAGAGGGUGGACGGCCACAAGGGGAAUGGGAGACGGCCCUUAGGCCUACGGGAGGCAGCAGUGAGGAAUAUUGGACAAUGGGGGCAACCCUGAUCCAGCAAUUCGGUGUGCACGAUGAAGGUUUUCGGAGUGUAAAGUGCUUUCAGCAGGGAAGAAAAAAAUGACGGUACCUGCAGAAGAAGCGACGGCUAAAUACGUG